UUGAAGCCAAAAUGGCGACGUGCAUGUUGUCGUCAAAAAUGUCGCCCAUCAUUAGACUUCUACUGAAAGAGCGGUCCUGUUCCUCGACAACGAUAUGAAACGGUGUGACCGACAUUUCCAGACGAGGCUACUCGACAGAUGGAGAUGCUCUCCAGACUGCUGCAGAAGACAGCAAUGCCGCCACAGCGGACCGCUGGAGCACUACACCAGUCUGGUCAUGGACUGGGCGCUGCGAGAGGACCCGCAUCAGAAAGCCGUGGUUCAGACCUUGGAUAAAAUGCACAAAACCCUACGAGGUUACAGCAACCAGCUUCGGUUCUCGAAAAACAUUGUCAACCAAUUACUUAGUAUUAGUGGGAAUCUAUUUAUCCUGAGAGAAUUAAUGGAAAGAUACAACUUUGAGGUUUCAAGCAAGGAAUAUGACACUGUUAUAAAAUCUAUACCUUGUGGGAUAAAAUAUUUACUUCAGAAUAAUGCAUAUCUAUAUCUAUUGAUGAAUAGCAUAGGGUUACUAGAUAAGAACUUCAACAAUUGUUUAUUAAGGGAUAUUUUCUACAGGAAUUAUAUCCCCUCUGCUAUAUUUUGUUGGACUUCAUCGUUUGAUGUAAACUGGCACCGUGCUUGGCUCACUCCAACAAAGGUAUGGUGACCAUUAAAGUAAAGGAGAUCUCCUUUAAGAUUAUCCAUUGAUUCUACCCGUGUAAUAGCUUGAUUUCUAAAUAUAUACCUAAUACCAGUGAAUAAAGUUAGCUAGAAACUGAA